rnacentral:sRNA from 1 species
AUGAGUGAUACUUACUGAGAACUUACCAUGCACUAAGAAGCCCCUUAGGUCACACUGUCAUCAUCCUGUGAGGUCAUGGGCCAAGGCACAGGGUACAGUAACAGCCCCCAAGGCCACUGGUUUAGAGGGUGGUGGAGACAAGCUCUUGACCUCCUUGCUGUCUUGCUGACUGUUUGUUAGACACCUUGUCUGCUUUCUCUUCCCCAUUUUACAGAUGCGGUGACCGGACCGGAUGUGUGAAGACAAAGCGUCUGCAGUCAUAGUGGGUGAACUGCAGACUCAGGCUCUCAUGGGAGUCUCUUGUCUGUGCCCCCUUUGUCCUGUCUCCUGGCCAAAAGCCAACUCCACAGUGUGGACAGGCCAGAAGAUCAAGUUCCCAAAUCAAUUUCGGAGAAGAAUGUCCUCUCCCUGGGGUUGUUCUGAACCUGCUGGUUUCAGAGAGCUAGAACAGUGCUCAGGCAUCGUGGACAGGUGCAGGAGGUCACAAGGCACCCUUUGGAGCUGCGGUUAUGGGAGAAGGGUGCUAGGAACUGCACUCAGGUCCUCUGGAAGACUGAGCCAUCUCUCUAGGUUCCACAGAAUGUUGCUAGUUAAGUGCCUCUUGUUUCUUCCACUCCUCACCCAUCCCUGACACCUCCCUCUCCUCCCUCCCUAGUGAAUGCCUUCUAUACUCAGUGGUGUGUCUUUUUUUCCCCCACACAGUUUCCUUGGGCCAGAGUGCUCUGUCUCUGCACUCUAGCUCCAGUAUCUGAAGACAAAUAUUACCUCACAGAGCUGUGCCCAGGGUCCCAGCCCACAGGAAUGGUGCCGCCCACAUUCAGAGCGGGGCUUUCUAGAAUCCAGAGACUCCUUGACAGCUAUCGCCAGAGGUUUGUUUCCAUGGUGACUCUAAAUUCCAUCAUGGGGAGAUUAAGAUCACCCAUUGCACCUGCCUUGAAGAUGGGUUUUCUAUUUCUAUCCCAGUGAGGUCUUGGAAAGGAUGUCAACCAGUGUGAACCUGCUUCCUUAUCUGCUAAUGGGGGCCGAGUGCAAGUGCCUAAGCAUCCGGGCCUUUUCUCUGGUAAGCGGCAUCCCUGUUUUGUGUCUGUUUCCAUGGUUCCUUUCAGGGUAAGACCCAUUUGCUACUUUUAAAGAUGGGUGCACGGCCUUGGCUUGGCCCAAUUAGGAGUAUUUUGUGUAGCCUCGGGCCUUGGUAAUUGGUUCAAAGAUGGGAACGUGAUCAAGUCUGAGCCAAUGAGCAUCGACCCAUGAGGUUGCAGGAGACAGCAGUGCAGAGAACUCACCCUU